rnacentral:tRNA from 1 species
UUAGCUGAAACCAAAAAGAGGUAUAUUACUGUUAAUAAUAAUACUGAAUAUUUAUAUUCCAGUUAAG